UACGUAGGAGACAAGCGUUGUCCGGAAUUACUGGGCGUAAAGCGCACGUAGGCGGGUCGUUAAGUCAGGGGUGAAAUCCCAGAGCUCAACUCUGGAACUGCCUUUGAUACUGGCGACCUAGAGUUCGGAAGAGGUUAGUGGAAUUCCCAGUGUAGAGGUGAAAUUCGUAGAUAUUGGGAAGAACACCAGUGGCGAAGGCGGCUAACUGGUCCGAUACUGACGCUGAGGUGCGAAAGCGUGGGGAGCAAACAGG
rnacentral:rRNA from 1 species